AGUGAACGCUGGCGGUAGGCCUAACACAUGCAAGUCGAACGGCAGCACAGUAAGAGCUUGCUCUUACGGGUGGCGAGUGGCGGACGGGUGAGGAAUACAUCGGAAUCUACUUUUUCGUGGGGGAUAACGUAGGGAAACUUACGCUAAUACCGCAUACGACCUACGGGUGAAAGCAGGGGAUCUUCGGACCUUGCGCGAUUGAAUGAGCCGAUGUCGGAUUAGCUAGUUGGCGGGGUAAAGGCCCACCAAGGCGACGAUCCGUAGCUGGUCUGAGAGGAUGGUAGGCGACAGGGGAACGGAGAGGCGGUCGAGACCAAGACGGGAGGCAGCAGUAGGGAAUGUUGAAGAAUGGGUGAAAGUUUGAAGGAGCAAUGCCGGGGGAGGGAUGAAGGCAUUCGGAUCGUAAAACUCUGUGAUUGGGGAAGAAAAAAAGGGUAAGUAAAUAUGCACGGCUUGACGGGAGCUAAGAAGAAAGAAACGGCUAACUAAGUG
rnacentral:rRNA from 1 species